AAGAAGUCGCCCUCCUGUCCGUGGAGCCUUUUGCCCUCAGCCUUUUGCAUCCUGACCUGAAGGCAGAGGGCUUUUACCUGAGGUGGCAGAGCAGGUGCCAGGGAGACCAGUGCGUGUGUCCUGAUGGAAGCAGACCUCUCUUCUCUGAGGGAAUGACGCUGAGGGAGCCUCGAGGAACAUCUUCAACAUGAAAUAAUCUUCACACGAGCUCGGCUUCCAUGAGAAGCUCCUCCCGGCCUGAAGGAAGACAGUGGUCCUCUGAACCAGUUGGCAGUUAAACUCAGCAGCAACACUGAGACUGACAGAGCAACCCCAGACAGCAGCAGCAGGCCCUUCAGUGCACAUCUGCUCUGGGUGACCGUCAUUACGGGAGUCUUCUCUUCAGUCUGCUGGUCGUUUUCAUUGCUGUGCGGAAGCUGUCUGAUUGUUGGCUGCAGGCCACAUGACAGGGCUCUGCUCAGCAGCCCCUUUCCAGCCGCCUCCCUCCACGUGCUCAGCACCAUCCUGUCCUCCCAUCUGAUCUUCUCCUGCUGGCUCCUGGCCACUAUCAUUUGACUACAG
rnacentral:lncRNA from 1 species